rnacentral:rRNA from 1 species
AGAACGAACGCUGGCGGCAUGCCUAAUACAUGCAAGUCGAACGAACACUUCGGUGUUAGUGGCGCACGGGCGCGUAACGCGUGGGGAUCUGCCCUUGGGUUCGGAAUAACAGUUGGAAACGACUGCUAAUACCGGAUGAUAUCGAAAGAUCAAAGAUUUAUCGCCCAGGGAUGAGCCCGCGUAGGAUUAGCUAGUUGGUGAGGUAAAGGCUCACCAAGGCGACGAUCCUUAGCUGGUCUGAGAGGAUGAUCAGCCACACUGGGACUGAGACACGACCCAGACUCCUACGGGAGGCAGCAGUAGGGAAUAUUGGACAAUGGGCGCAAGCUGAUCCAGCCAUGCCGCGUGUGUGAAGAAGGUCCUCGGAUUGUAAAGCACUUUAAGUUGGGAGGAAGGGCAGUUACCUAAUACGUAUCUGUUUUGACGUUACCGACAGAAUAAGCAACCGGCUAACUCUGUGCCAGCAGCCGCGGUAA